GCCGAAAUAGCCCAUUUGGGAGAGCUUUAGACUGAAGAUCUAAAGGUCCGUGGUUCGAUUCCGCGUUUCGGCA